GACUACAUGAAGCUGGAAUCGCUAGUAAUCGCGGAUCAGAAUGCCGCGGUGAAUACGUUCCCGGGUCUUGUACACACCGCCCGUCACACCAUGGGAGUCGGAAAUGCCCGAAGUCAGUGGCCCAACCGCGAGGGGGGGAGCUGCCGAAGGCAGGUCCGGUGACUGGGGUGAAGUCGUAACAAGGUAGC
rnacentral:rRNA from 1 species